rnacentral:lncRNA from 1 species
AGAGAAGCUGGAGACAAGCAAAGGAUGCCCAAUCUAUGCUUCUAUAGAAGAUUUAUCAAUUCAGGUGUGUGGCUCAGGGACUUGGCCUGCUUGUGGUGGGCAGGAACUGUGAUUGAAGAUGCCACAGCAUUUGGUAGGAGCUUUUGCAUGGUAGUCCAUGUUUUCCCAGGGACCAGAGAAGGAAAAGGGGUUAGUAAUGUUGAGUAAAAUGCUCAAACAAAAACGUCAAAGUCUGCUUAAUAUAAUGCUUAAAGACAAAGGGCCAGAAUUCUCAUCGCUGUUUAAAAGUUGCAAAAGGGCUGCUGCCCCCUCUUUCUCUCUGGAAAUGCACCCUCUCAACCACUAGUGGUAAUGCUCUUUUGACAAACAAGAAAACUUCUACUCAGAUCUACAGCUUCUACUAACUGGGUAACAAAGACUCAAACGGG